rnacentral:rRNA from 1 species
CCUACGGGUGGCAGCAGUGAGGAAUAUUGGUCAAUGGCCGAGAGGCUGAACCAGCCAAGUCGCGUGAGGGAAGACGGCCCUACGGGUUGUAAACCUCUUUUGUCGGGGAGCAAAGCGAACCACGUGUGGUUCAUUGAGAGUACCCGAAGAAAAAGCAUCGGCUAACUCCGUGCCAGCAGCCGCGGUAAUACGGAGGUGGCAAGCGUUAUCCGGAUUUACUGGGUGUAAAGGGCGAGUAGGCGGGAUUGCAAGUCAGAUGUGAAAACUAUGGGCUCAACCGAUAGAGUGCAUUUGAAACUGCAGUUCUUGAGUGAUGGAGAGGCAGGCGGAAUUCCCGGUGUAGCGGUGGAAUGCGUAGAUAUCGGGAGGAACACCAGUGGCGAAGGCGGCCUGCUGGACAUUAACUGACGCUGAGGCGCGAAAGCGUGGGGAGCAAACAGGAUUAGAUACCCUAGUAGUC